rnacentral:rRNA from 1 species
AUACGUAGGGAGCGAGCGUUGUCCGGAAUUACUGGGUGUAAAGGGAGCGUAGGCGGGAGUGCAAGUCAGAUGUGAAAUACAUGGGCUCAACCCAUGGGCUGCAUUUGAAACUGCAUUUUUUGAGUGAAGUAGAGGUAAGCGGAAUUCCUGGUGUAGCGGUGAAAUGCGUAGAUAUCAGGAGGAACACCGGUGGCAAAGGCGGCUUACUGGGCUUUUACUGACGCUGAGGCUCGAAAGCGUGGGGAGCAAACAGGAUUAGAUACCCUGGUAGUCCACGCUGUAAACGAUGAUUACUAGGUGUGGGGGGACUGACCCCUUCCGUGCCGCAGUUAACACAAUAAGUAAUCCACCUGGGGAGUACGGCCGCAAGGUUGAAACUCAAAUGAAUUGACGGGG